rnacentral:lncRNA from 1 species
CUGUAACAAGAAACUAGCAGUAUAUAAUCUGCAAUAACUAUCAUUAGAAUAGGAAAAUAAUUACAUUAUCGAAAACUUAGAACUUUGCUAAUUGCAACUAUUCAGAAACUUAUUUGAUGAUGGAAUUCAUUUCUCAGUGGCACUUCUCCGAAUCUUUUAAAUGUCAGAUUCGGAUUAAAACCGUACAUCGAAUACAACGAACAAGACCAAAAUAGUGAAUCUAAUGGACACAAACAGAAAUGAACAAAUGGCAAUACAGAAAAUCGACCACGGUGCUUUCAACAAAAUAGAUACCAACUUUUAAAGAGAAAUUUGAAUCUGAAAGAUGCAUUGGG